AUGUGAUCGUCUCUCGCAUAUCAAUAAGCGGAGGAAAAGAAACUAACAAGGAUUCCCCUAGUAACGGCGAGUGAAGCGGGAAGAGCUCAAAUUUGAAAUCUUAAAGGGUUUCCCUUUACGAAUUGUAGUUUAAAGAAGUGUUUUCUGUUGAGGUUUUGGUAAAAGUUCUUUGGAAUAGGACAUCAUAGAGGGUGAGAAUCCCGUAUUUGACCUUUACUUUCAACUUUGUGAUACACUUUCAAAGAGUCGGAUUGUUUGGGAAUGCAGUCCAAAAUGGGUGGUAAAUUUCAUCUAAAGCUAAAUAUUGGCGAGAGACCGAUAGCGAACAAGUACCGUGAGGGAAAGAUGAAAAGAACUUUGAAAAGAGAGUUAAACAGUACGUGAAAUUGUCAAAAGGGAAGCGUUUGACACCAGUGUUGUUUUUCUGAAAAUCAAUUAAAGAACUGUUUAUGCUAAGCUUGUUUAGACUUUAUCAGCUAUCUGUUUAGUUUUGAGCUUUUCUUUAAUGCACUUUUCAGUUAACAAGUCAACAUCAAUUUCUUUUGCUGUAAAAAAGCUUGAGGAAGGUGGCUUGAGAUUCGUCUUAAGUGUUUAUAGCCUCUUGCCUAUGCAGUCGGAGAGAUUGAGGUCUGCAGCGUAGAUCCUUCGGGGCUAAAUGCAUUUGUGCUAAGUUAUAGCAUUUUAUAGACAACUUGUUGACUAUGAUUUGUCUUGUAGCUUACUCGCUUAUGUUAUUUUACCUACGCUUAGGAUGUUGAACGCGCACAGAGUCUC
rnacentral:rRNA from 1 species